rnacentral:rRNA from 1 species
UCGGUAACACGUAGUCAACCUAACCUGUGGACGUGGAUAAUCUCGGGAAACUGAGGAUAAACCACGAUAGAUAACGGUGCCUGGAAUGGCCCAUUGUCCAANACAGUUUACUGCCACGGGAUGGGACUGCGGCCUAUCAGCUUGUUGGUGAGGUAAUGGCCCACCAAGGCUAUAACAGGUACGGGCUCUGAGAGGAGAAGCCCGGAGAUGGGUACUGAGACACGGACCCAGGCCCUAUGGGGCGCAGCAGGCGAGGAACCUUAGCAAUGUGCGAAAGCACGACUGGGUCAGUCCGAGUGAUUUCUGAUAAAGGAAUCUUUUGCCCGUCCUAAAAGCACGGGCGAAUAAGGGGAUGGGCAAGUCUGGUGCCA